rnacentral:snoRNA from 1 species
CAGCCUGAAAUGAUGACUUUAAUUUCAUGUCUCUUCUCUGACAUUUUUCUCUGGAGAUGAUUUUGCCUUACUGAUCUGAUCAGGCUG